GUUCCUUGUUUUAGCUGACGACACUCGAGAGCGCCAAUUUUCCUAGAUUCGAUUUUGUGGUUUGGAACUGUGGUUUUGGAAUCCAGAGUAGUCGCCUCGUUCUAGUAUCCAAUUGCUCCAGCACCAACUGGUGAAAAGACCAUCAUUCUUCUACUCAGUUGCAUUUGAAGCUUUGUCAAAAACCAGACACAAUUGGAGACACAGGUUCUUCUAUCAAGGCCUUGACUGGAAUGGCAUAUUUUCAGAUAUGACCACAUUGCUUUGAGGAAAUGAGGCUGAUGUUGCAGAGCUGAUAAAACCCCCACAGAAAGGCCAGCCUACCUCUGAACAGGGUCAUGCCCUUCCAACAUCCCAUCCUGAUGGCUGGAAUAUGGACAUGAGGGUGAACCACCUUGGACCAUGUGAAACAGGGUAACACCCCAAGGGCAGUAGAACAGGAAGACAACAAGCCUGGGUCUCAGAUAACUUUGUAGCUCAGGAUCCACAUAAAAGAUUGGACUGUUAUAUGAGAAAUCCUUUUAAAGAUCUAUAAGGUCUCUCUUGCAUACAACCAACUUAUGUGCUAACUAAUGUAUAAAGUGAGAGAAAACCUCAUCCUAUGACAUAUUCUCUGUACUAAUAAAGCCUUGAAGACAUUGACACUCUGGAUCAGGCUGUGCCUUGA
rnacentral:lncRNA from 1 species